rnacentral:rRNA from 1 species
AGUGCAUGUGGUGGAUGCCUUGGCGAUCACAGGCGAUGAAGGACGCGGUAGCCUGCGAAAAGCUACGGGGAGCUGGCAAACGAGCUUUGAUCCGUAGAUGUCCGAAUGGGGAAACCCGGCCCUUUUGGGUCAUCCUAGACUGAAUACAUAGGUCUAGUGAGGCGAACGCGGUGAACUGAAACAUCUAAGUAACCGCAGGAAAAGAAAUCAACCGAGAUUCCCAAAGUAGUGGCGAGCGAAAUGGGAAGAGCCUGUACUCUUUAUUUGUAUUGUUAGCCGAACGCUCUGGAAAGUGCGGCCAUAGCAGGUGAUAGCCCUGUAGGCGAAAACAGUAUGAAAGAACUAGGUGUACGACAAGUAGGGCGGGACACGUGAAAUCCUGUCUGAAGAUGGGGGGACCAUCCUCCAAGGCUAAAUACUCGUGAUCGACCGAUAGUGAACCAGUACCGUGAGGGAAAGGCGAAAAGAACCCCGGGAGGGGAGUGAAAUAGAUCCUGAAACCGCAUGCAUACAAACAGUCGGAGCCUCUUCGGGGGUGACGGCGUACCUUUUGUAUAAUGGGUCAGCGACUUACGUUCAGUAGCAAGCUUAACCGAAUAGGGCAGGCGUAGCGAAAGCGAGUCCGAAUAGGGCGUUCAGUUGCUGGGCGUAGACCCGAAACCAGGUGAUCUAUCCAUGGCCAGGAUGAAGGUGCGGUAACACGUACUGGAGGUCCGAACCCACUAACGUUGAAAAGUUAGGGGAUGAGCUGUGGAUAGGGGUGAAAGGCUAAACAAACCUGGAAAUAGCUGGUUCUCUCCGAAAACUAUUUAGGUAGUGCCUCGUGUCUCACCUUCGGGGGUAGAGCACUGUCAUGGUUGGGGGGUCUAUUGCAGAUUACCCCGCCAUAGCAAACUCCGAAUACCGAAGAGUGCAAUCACGGGAGACAGACAUCGGGUGCUAACGUCCGGUGUCAAGAGGGAAACAACCCAGACCGCCAGCUAAGGUCCCCAAAUAUGGCUAAGUGGGAAACGAAGUGGGAAGGCUAAAACAGUCAGGAGGUUGGCUUAGAAGCAGCCACCCUUUAAAGAAAGCGUAAUAGCUCACUGAUCGAGUCGUCCUGCGCGGAAGAUGUAACGGGGCUAAGCUAUAUACCGAAGCUGCGGAUGCGAGCUUUGCUCGCAUGGUAGGAGAGCGUUCCGUAAGCCUGCGAAGGUGCGUUGAAAAGCGUGCUGGAGGUAUCGGAAGUGCGAAUGCUGACAUGAGUAGCGAUAAAGGGGGUGAAAGGCCCCCUCGCCGUAAGCCCAAGGUUUCCUACGCAACGUUCAUCGGCGUAGGGUGAGUCGGCCCCUAAGGCGAGGCAGAAAUGCGUAGCUGAUGGGAAGCAGGUCAAUAUUCCUGCACCAUUGUUAGAUGCGAUGGGGGGACGGAUCGCGGAAGGUUGUCCGGGUGUUGGAAGUCCCGGUCGCUGCAUUGGAGAAGGCGCUUAGGCAAAUCCGGGCGCAGGAUUCAAGGGUGUGGCGCGAGCUCCUUCGGGAGCGAAGCAAUUGGAAGUGGUUCCAAGAAAAGCCUCUAAGCUUCAGUCUAACGAUGACCGUACCGCAAACCGACACAGGUGGGCGAGAUGAGUAUUCUAAGGCGCUUGAGAGAACUCGGGAGAAGGAACUCGGCAAAUUGGUACCGUAACUUCGGGAUAAGGUACGCCCUGGUAGCUUGACUGGCCUGCGCCAGAAGGGUGAAGGGGUUGCAAUAAACUGGUGGCUGCGACUGUUUAAUAAAAACACAGCACUCUGCAAACACGAAAGUGGACGUAUAGGGUGUGACGCCUGCCCGGUGCCGGAAGAUUAAAUGAUGGGGUGCAAGCUCUUGAUUGAAGUCCCGGUAAACGGCGGCCGUAACUAUAACGGUCCUAAGGUAGCGAAAUUCCUUGUCGGGUAAGUUCCGACCUGCACGAAUGGCGUAACGAUGGCCACACUGUCUCCUCCCGAGACUCAGCGAAGUUGAAGUGUUUGUGAUGAUGCAAUCUACCCGCGGCUAGACGGAAAGACCCCAUGAACCUUUACUGUAGCUUUGCAUUGGACUUUGAACCGAUCUGUGUAGGAUAGGUGGGAGGCUAUGAAACCGGAACGCUAGUUUCGGUGGAGCCGUCCUUGAAAUACCACCCUGGUUUGUUUGAGGUUCUAACCUUGGCCCGUGAUCCGGGUCGGGGACAGUGCAUGGUAGGCAGUUUGACUGGGGCGGUCUCCUCCCAAAGCGUAACGGAGGAGUACGAAGGUACGCUAGGUACGGUCGGAAAUCGUGCUGAUAGUGCAAUGGCAUAAGCGUGCUUAACUGCGAGACCGACAAGUCGAGCAGGUGCGAAAGCAGGUCAUAGUGAUCCGGUGGUUCUGUAUGGAAGGGCCAUCGCUC